CAGUAGCCGCGGUAAUACGAAGGGUGCAAGCGUUAAUCGGAAUUACUGGGCGUAAAGCGUGCGUAGGCGGUGAGUUAAGUCUGCUGUGAAAUCCCCGGGCUCAACCUGGGAAUGGCAGUGGAUACUGGCUCGAUAGAGUGUGUCAGAGGAUGGUGGAAUUCCCGGUGUAGCGGUGAAAUGCGUAGAGAUCGGGAGGAACAUCAGUGGCGAAGGCGGCCAUCUGGGACAACACUGACGCUGAGGCACGAAAGCGUGGGGAGCAAACAGGAUUAGAUACCCCGGUAGUCCCUGUCUCUUAUAC
rnacentral:rRNA from 1 species